CAGGCUGUACAUCCCACUGGUCAACCCCACAGACGAGACACUGGAGCUGGGGAUGGUCAACAGCAACCCUCGCAAUUUCACCCUGGAGCUGGACACCAGCAGACCACUCAUCAUAGCACCACACUCGUCCACCCAGAUUCCUGUCCGUUUCAGCCCAUCAACCAUCGGAGCUGGAAACCACACAGCCAAGAUCUCCUUCACCUGCUCUCAGUUGAAACACUGGAGCUUCCAGCUGUGUGGUGAAGGCCUGAC